UUCCGGUUGAUCCUGCCGGACCUGACUGCUAUCGGAUUGAUACUAAGCCAUGCGAGUCAUUGUAGCAAUACAAGGCAGACGGCUCAGUAACGCGUAGUCAAUCUACCCUAUGGACGGGAAUAACCUCGGGAAACUGAGAAUAAUGCCCGAUAGAACAUUAUGCCUGGAAUGGUUUAUGUUUCAAAUGAUUUAUCGCCAUAGGAUGGGACUGCGGCCUAUCAGUUUGUUGGUGAGGUAAUGGCCCACCAAGACUAUUACAGGUACGGGCUCUGAGAGGAGUAGCCCGGAGAUGGGUACUGAGACACGGACCCAGGCCCUAUGGGGCGCAGCAGGCGAGAAAACUUUGCAAUGUGCGAAAGCACGACAAGGUUAAUCCGAGUGGUUUCUGCUAAAGAAACCUUUUGUCAGUCCUAGAAACACUAACGAAUAAGGGGUGGGCAAGUUCUGGUGUCAGCCGCCGCGGUAAAACCAGCACCUCAAGUGGUCAGGAUGAUUAUUGGGCCUAAAGCAUCCGUAGCUCGUUUUGUAAGUUUUCGGUUAAAUCCAUGCGCUUAACGUAUGGGCUGCCGGGAAUACUGCAUAACUAGGAAGUGGGAGAGGUAGACGGUACUCGGGAGGAAGGGGUAAAAUCCUUUGAUCUCUUGAUGACCACCUGUGGCGAAGGCGGUCUACCAGAACACGUUCGACGGUGAGGGAUGAAAGCUGGGGGAGCAAACCGGAUUAGAUACCCGGGUAGUCCCAGCUGUAAACUAUGCAAACUCAGUGAUGCGUUGGCUUAUGGCCAAUGCAGCGCUGCAGGGAAGCCGUUAAGUUUGCCGCCUGGGAAGUACGUACGCAAGUAUGAAACUUAAAGGAAUUGGCGGGGGAGCACCACAA
rnacentral:rRNA from 2 species